AACGAACGCUGGCGGCAGGCCUAACACAUGCAAGUCGAGCGAGGCCUUCGGGCUUAGCGGCGGACGGGUGAGUAACGCGUGGGAACGUGCCCUUUGGUACGGAAUAGCCCCGGGAAACUGGGAGUAAUACCGUAUGUGGUCGAGAGACGAAAGAUUUAUCGCCAAAGGAUCGGCCCGCGUUGGAUUAGGUAGUUGGUGGGGUAAUGGCCUACCAAGCCGACGAUCCAUAGCUGGUUUGAGAGGAUGAUCAGCCACACUGGGACUGAGACACGGCCCAGACUCCUACGGGAGGCAGCAGCGGGGAAUCUUAGACAAUGGGGGAAACCCUGAUCUAGCCAUGCCGCGUGAUCGAUGAAGGCCUUAGGGUUGUAAAGGUCUUUCAGUGGGGAAGAUAAUGACUGUACCCACAGAAGAAGCCCCGGCUAACUCCGUGCCAGCCGCCGCGGUAAGAC
rnacentral:rRNA from 1 species